rnacentral:rRNA from 1 species
GUCCACGCCCUAAACGAUGUCUACUAGUUGUUGGGAGAGUAAAAUCUCUUAGUAACGCAGCUAACUCGUGAAGUAGACCGCCUGGGGAGUACGGUCGCAAGAUUAAAACUCAAAGGAAUUGACGGGGGCCCGCACAAGCGGUUGAUUAUGUGGAUUAAUUCGAUGCAACGCGAAAACCUUAACCUGGCCUUGACAUGCCGAGAACAUUGCAGAGAUGCGAUGGUGCCCGAAAGGGAACUUGGACACAGGUGCUGCAUGGCUGUCGU